AACAAAGCAGCGCCCUGCGGAAGGCAGCCCUCGUGAACUCAGAAGUUAGUUUUCGUCUCUGGACCUUUUUAUAAUCGGACUUCAGCCCAUCACUGUCUCGUUUUGUCCUCAGAAACGGCGACAGCAGCCUCUUCCCAAUGUUGAGAGCAAAAAGUGUGAACCCAGAAAUUCCGAGACAGAUCUCAAUUACUUGCCAAGGUUGAGGACGCGCGCGUGACAGCCUCAGGAAGUCCUCACGACAUGUGCCCAAGGUGGUCUGGGCAUAGCUUAGUUUUAUACAUUUUAUGGAGACAUGAGACAUCAAUAAAUGUAUGUAAGAAGUACAUUGGUUCUGUUUGGAAAGGCGGGGCAACUUGAAGCAAAGGCAGGAAGACGUGAAGCAGGAAGGGGGCUUCCAAGAAACAGAAGAGACAAGUGAACAUUUAUUUUUAUGUCUUUCUUCCUAUGUGUAUUUCAAGUCUUUUUCAAAACAAGGCCCCAGGACUCUCCAGAUUCAAUUAUGUCCUUGGGCUUGGUCGACUGCUGCAGGAGUCUUAAGGAGCCUUGUGCAAAUGCUAGAGUGACUCAUUUACCAACAUUAAACCCUAGGAUAGAUGCAACAGAGAAGUACUACUUCCUCCAUGGAAUGUGCUGAUUUCAGGCGACGUGGCACCCAAUGUAGAAAACGCUGGAAUUUUUCCUUGGAACUGGACUGUGAUGAGAGGUGCUUGCCAUGAACAUAAGCUACUGUCUUUUUUUUCUUUUUUUGAGACGGACUUUCACUUUUUUUGCCCAGGCUGGAGUGUAAUGGCGCGAUCUUGGCUCACCGCAACCUCCGCCUCCCAGGUUUGAGUGAUUCUCCUACCUUAGCCUCCUGAGUAGCUGGGAUUACAGGCGUGCGCCACCAUUCCCAGCUAAUUUUUGUAUUUUUAGUAGACACAGUGUUUCUCCAUGUUGGUCAGGCUGGUCUCAAACUCCUGACCUCAGGUGAUACGCCCGCCUCAGCCUCCCAAAGUGUUGGGAUUACUGGCGUGAGGCAUCGUGCCCAGCAAGCUACUGUCUUUUCUUUGACCCUUUCCAGUUUUUGAAGAUAAAGCAGGAAAUAAUCUUCUCUGAAAGUACUUGAUAAAAAUUCCCAAAACAAC
rnacentral:lncRNA from 1 species